UCUGGUAAGCUUAUGCUCUCCUCUCAAGACGCAUUAAAGCUUUCCUGCAGAAGGAUCCGAGUGUCCCGUGUAUGAUUUCUUGCUGGCGAGGAAUACAGAGCGGGCGCGGGACAUAUGGUGCUGAAACCCGGGAACAUGUGAACAUUUCCAGCACCUCGGAGACCCCUCUAACGAGGCGGAUUCAGAACUGCAGGGUGGUAAAUUCGGAGAGGUAUGAUUUUUCUGGACUUUGGCUUGGGAAUGUUGCUAUUGUGGGAGGUUAAUAUAGAGGCUUCUAUGCUUUUACUAGGAGCUAUUUUGACUUUUCUCACUGUUGUAGCAAUCUUAAAGAAGUCCAGAAUUACAUAUCAGAAACCGAAUGUGGUGAGAGAUGGGGCGCGCCUAACAAUAAAAUAUAAGAAAAAAGGACCUCCCGGGAUGUCUAGUGACAAGGGAGUGAAUAAUUUGUUAAGAGAAACAGCAAUAAAUAAGAAAAAAGGACCUCCUGGAAUGUCUACUGACAAGGGAGUGAAUAAUUUGUUAGAUGAUUCUGUAAAUAAGUUUAAAGCUUUAAAUCUUGAUAGCUCUAAUGACUCUAAAAGCUCAAGAGAUAAAGUUUUAGAGGAAACAGCUCAGCUAGGUGAAAAAGAAACAAAAAAGGAGGGAGAGAAAAUAGGAGAUAACCGGUCACACCCCGGUAAAUUUAAGAGAAAUAAAGACUUAAAACCUAGCCUCUUCCCUGCAACGAAACUGGAAGCCUUGGAGCUGAACAGCUCAGACUCUGAGAUUUUAGACUCUAGCAAGGAAGCAGAGCUAGAGAAAGAAGCAGCACGAUACCACCCCGAUAGAUAUCGGCUGCCAAAAAUGCCAGCGGGUGUGCUUCCAUCAGCACCCCCACUAUUUGGUACCGACUCCUUUUUACCAUCAAAGGAGCGGAAAAAAUUACAGAUGGCUUUCCCAGUCUUUGAUAGGGGAAAAGGCCGUGCAUGUUAUUCAACACUGCUUGGAGGCCUGGGAUGCCUGGAAAAAGCCUCAUAUCCUAAAGUUGCUCAAGUAAUUUAUGUAUACUUGUUUUAAAAUGUUCUAUUUCCUGGUACGGCCAUUUUGUAGCUGGUCACAUGACUGACGGUAGCCAUUUUACUAAAGUUAAAAAAAAAAAAGGAUAC
rnacentral:lncRNA from 1 species